AUGUCACAGUACUGGUGGGGAGAUGAGGAUGAGAAGAAGCACAUGCACUGAUUCACGUGGUGAAAGAUGUGUGUGCCAAAGAGCAAUGGAGGUAUGGGUUUCAGAGAUGUACAUUGUUUUAACUUGGCCCUCCUAGCUAAACAGUGCUGGAGAUUGCUAGCAGAUCUAGAUUCUUUAUGUGCCAGAGUAUUGAGGGCAAAAUAUUUCCCGGACAGAGACCUACUGAAUUGUCCCCUCAAGAAAGGUAGUUCUUACACUUGGCAGAGCUUGUGAAGUGGUAUUCAGACUUUCAAAAAAGGAUACAUAUGGAGAGUUGGAGAUGGCACACAAAUAAACAUCUGGGAUGAUCCUUGGGUAUCUACAGGAUGGUAA
rnacentral:rRNA from 1 species